CACACGACUCUCGGCAACGGAUAUCUCGGCUCUCGCAUCGAUGAAGAACGUAGCAAAAUGCGAUACCUGGUGUGAAUUGCAGAAUCCCGUGAACCAUCGAGUUUUUGAACGCAAGUUGCGCCCGAGGCCUUUUGGCCGAGGGCACGUCUGCCUGGGCGUCACGC
rnacentral:rRNA from 1 species